CCUGACAAACUAGGAAACUAAGAAAACAGGAGCUCACGGAAAUCGUUUGCAUCUGUAGUGUGAAGCGAUCUUUUAUACAAUUGACCGGCUGACUGAACAUCAAAAUUAGUACCAUUCCCUUGGCAAAGCAAGCAAACAAAUUCAAAAAUGAGUGACGACUUUCUGCGGAAACCAUUUUCAUUGGCGCCCGCGCCAGCCGUUGAAGAAGCAACAAACUCAAACUACACAUCUGGUGCAAGCAAAUUUAGUAGCGCUCCGGUCUCGCCAUACCUCAACUACGAUUCACGCUUCCUGCAGCAGGCACAGCCCGAGUUCAUCUUUCCCGAGGGUGCCAACAAGCAGCGUGGCCGUUUUGAGCUAGCCUUCUCCCAGAUUGGCACUUCGGUUAUGAUUGGCGGCGGUAUUGGAGGUCUAGCGGGAGUAUACAAUGGUUUUAAGGCCACCAACGCGCUCAAUCAGACGGGGAAACUGCGGCGAACUCAGUUAAUCAAUCACAUUAUGAAGCAGGGUUCUGGAACGGCAAACUCUCUGGGGACCCUGGCGGUGCUCUAUUCGGCGUGCGGUGUGCUAUUGCAAUACUCUCGUGGCGAGGAUGACCAUGUCAACACAGUAAUUGCGGGCUCUGCCACAGGCCUGCUGUAUAAAUCCACAGCUGGCCUACGGAGGUGUGCACUUGGCGGUGCAAUUGGCCUAGGCAUCUCGUCUCUCUAUUGCCUAUACCUGUUAGCGCAGGAGAGAGGCACUAACUCAAGUCCAAAAUUCCUGUAGAUAACGAUGGCUAAGCUUUCCAAGCACGAGCACACAGUAGACGCUUCGAUGGGCUUGACCACGUUAUCAGGACGUAUAUGAUCGUUUCAUAUUCAUCAGGCUUUAGACUAUAAGAAAAAAAACGCUUGUAGCUAAGAAACUACACACAGUAGAAGACACUUCACCAAAAAUUGUAUAAAAGCUUCGGAUGUGUGCUUUAAAUGCAACGUGCUGUAAAGUA